CCCUUAGAUGUUCUGGGCCGCACGCGCGCUACACUGAUAAUGUCAACAAGCUUUACCUUGGCCGAUAGGUCUGGGCAAUCUUCGAACUAUUAUCGUGAUGGGGCUAGAUUAUUGCAACUAUUAAUCUUAAACGAGGAAUUCCUAGUAAGCGCGAGUCAUCAGCUCGCGUUGAUUACGUCCCUGCCCUUUGUACACACCGCCCGUCGCUCCUACCGAUUGAACGGUUUAGUGAGGGCCUCGGAUUGGUCUCGGCCCGCUCUUUACCGGGCGGCGCCGUUGGUCGAGAAGACGCUCGAACUUGAUCGUUUAGAGGAAGUAAAAGUCGUAACA
rnacentral:rRNA from 1 species